AUUAUACUCUCUCCGUCCGAAAAUACUUGUCAUCAAAAUGGACAAAAAGGGAUGUAUCUAAAACUAAAAUACAUCUAGAUACAUCCCUUUUAUCCAUUUUGAUGACAAGUAUUUCCGGACGGAGGGAGUAUAUA
rnacentral:pre_miRNA from 1 species